AGAGUUUGAUCCUGGCUCAGGACGAACGCUGGCGGCGCGCCUAACACAUGCAAGUCGAACGAGAGAUGAGGAGCUUGCUCUUCAAAUCGAGUGGCGAACGGGUGAGUAACGCGUGAGGAACCUGCCUCAAAGAGGGGGACAACAGUUGGAAACGACUGCUAAUACCGCAUAAGCCCACGGCUCGGCAUCGAGCAGAGGGAAAAGGAGCAAUCCGCUUUGAGAUGGCCUCGCGUCCGAUUAGCUAGUUGGUGAGGUAACGGCCCACCAAGGCGACGAUCGGUAGCCGGACUGAGAGGUUGAACGGCCACAUUGGGACUGAGACACGGCCCAGACUCCUACGGGAGGCAGCAGUGGGGAAUAUUGCACAAUGGGGGAAACCCUGAUGCAGCGACGCCGCGUGGAGGAAGAAGGUCUUCGGAUUGUAAACUCCUGUUGUUGAGGAAGAUAAUGACGGUACUCAACAAGGAAGUGACGGCUAACUACGUGCCAGCAGCCGCGGUAAAACGUAGGUCACAAGCGUUGUCCGGAAUUACUGGGUGUAAAGGGAGCGCAGGCGGGAGAACAAGUUGGAAGUGAAAUCCAUGGGCUCAACCCAUGAACUGCUUUCAAAACUGUUUUUCUUGAGUAGUGCAGAGGUAGGCGGAAUUCCCGGUGUAGCGGUGGAAUGCGUAGAUAUCGGGAGGAACACCAGUGGCGAAGGCGGCCUACUGGGCACCAACUGACGCUGAGGCUCGAAAGUGUGGGUAGCAAACAGGAUUAGAUACCCUGGUAGUCCACACCGUAAACGAUGAUUACUAGGUGUUGGAGGAUUGACCCCUUCAGUGCCGCAGUUAACACAAUAAGUAAUCCACCUGGGGAGUACGACCGCAAGGUUGAAACUCAAAGGAAUUGACGGGGGCCCGCACAAGCAGUGGAGUAU
rnacentral:rRNA from 1 species